CAAUGGGAUUAAUAGGCAAGUGGUUUCUUAGAAGAUUUGUUUUAACUUAUGGUGCUCUUGCACGGCAUUGUCAAUGGUCACUUGCGAGAAUGCCUGACAUUAUAUCCAUGAUUUGGCACUUCAACUUAUAGCUAAGCCCAUAAAAAUUUUCAUUGGGAUUUUUGAUGAGCAUGCUCAAUUUGUUGCUGUAGAAGAUUUUUUAGUUGGUGGUC
rnacentral:lncRNA from 1 species